GACGAACCGAGCGAACGUUGUUCGGAAUCACUGGGCUUAAAGGGCGCGUAGGCGGGCUGCCGCGUCCGGGGUGAAAUCCUCCCGCUCAACGGGAGAACGGCCUCGGAUACGGGCGGCCUCGAGGGAGGUAGGGGCAUGCGGAACUACGGGUGGAGCGGUGAAAUGCGUUGAUAUCCGUGGGAACUCCGGUGGCGAAGGCGGCGUGCUGGACCUCAUCUGACGCUGAGGUGCGAAAGCGUGGGGAGCAAACAGG
rnacentral:rRNA from 1 species